GGUAUCCGGCCGUUUGAGACUGUGUAGUUGCAGGAGGUGAAGGGCCCCAUUCCCAACGUGGUGAUCCUGGUAAAACGCGGCAAUUGGGAAUGUACAAGACGCCGCGAUUUCUCCAGAUGUUCCCGCCCCCAGGCCCAGCCCAACGGAGCCACAGUCAAGGCUCCAGUUAAGAGCGGAGUGUGCUCCGAGCCAGGUGACACCUAUUCCUGGUGGGGCACAGAUUCCAGCCGCCCAAUGAGGCAGGUUUCCUCAGCCUCCUGCUCCCUGUUGUGUCACCAUCUGCUGAUGCCCUUCGUGACUUCUGUGCGGUCAACCCCUUCCCAUCUGGGGACACUUCUCCUUCCACCUGCCCCUGGACCUGAGCCAGCUGUGUGAUCGGCCUCUUCCCACCUGGGGGCAGAGGGCCACCUGAACUACUGCGCAACAGGCUUUAAAAAUGGGUCCUGACCAGCCGACGGUGCUCGCCUGUCGAGACAGCCACAAAGGCACGUCCUUUUCUCAGUCCGGCAAGUGACGCCGUUCCACGCUCCUCUCUCUGCCAGAGGACAGAAGAACGGCUAGUACCUCUCCAUCGAGACACGACCGAGCUCUCCGGUGAGGAACACCGGCCCCCUGCAUCGGACCGGACCAGCCCAGCUGCCAGACCCCAGAGGACAGCACCACCGGGAUCCCCAUUAAGCCUGUACCUGCAGCAUCAGGAACUGGUGCCUGCCCUUGGUCCUGCUUGCGUAGAGCAGCCUCUUUGCUAGCAACUACUUGAAUGUCUCACACCUGCACGGUUAAAGUUUAUCUCAAGGGACGCCUUAGAGAUAAACACUCCAGAUCCUUUCCUGGGAUCUACUUGGGACACGUGGGUUUCGCUGUGAAGGUGAAGGGCAGCCGGUGGCCGGCUGCAGAUCCCAGCCCAGAAAGGUGUGCAGCCCCCACCGGGACACGGGGUUUUCCGCUGAGCGCCAUGCUGGCUAUGGACAGCGCCUGCAGGGGUCUCCCUGGCACAGCCAAGUCUCCUGUUGCUGAGCCGAGGCACCUCCUGCUCCAGGUGAGGGCUGACCGCCCAGGGUCGUGGGAUCUGUUUGGAAAUGCAUCCUCCGAGAAGCAGGUUCAGAAGCUGGACACAUCUCCAUGGGGCCAAGGGACCCCACGCCAGACGCGACUUUUGAGGGGAUGCCGAGCUCUUGGAGUGCCCCCGAUCUCCAGUUGGAACUCCUCCUACCAAUGCCAUAGUGGAGGCACCAGACCUCAGCGGAGGGGACCAGAAGGGGGGGGGGGGGUAGGGCUACGGCUGCCCUGGGAGGCGGUUGGGGGCUAGGGGCACCGUGGCGCCACCCUGACUCCGGCCAUCUCUGGCCUGCUCCAAGGGAGGCAGUCCUGCCUGCCCAUCCUUAUGUAAGCCGGUACAAUAAAUAGCGAAAUAAGAAAAAUCUUCCAGACAUGCUAAGAAAGCCCCACUGUGCACCCUAAAACCAAAUAAGAUCUAACCAGGCCUGUA